rnacentral:misc_RNA from 1 species
AUGAAAUAAAUGUCGAAAAGGGUUGUAGCUGGCCUCUUGAGGCAUGUGCACACCUUUAUCGUGCAUCUACAUCUCACACCUGUGCACAACCUGUAGCUUGGGAUGAUUACAAUACUGGAAACGGUAUUGAAAGCCCUCGCUAUGAAUUUUUAUACAACCCUAUUAAAAGUUACAGAAUGUUGAAUCAAGGUGCUUUGGUACCUAUAAAGUUAUAUA